rnacentral:rRNA from 1 species
AUUGAACGCUGGCGGCAUGCCUUACACAUGCAAGUCGAACGGUAACGGGCCUUCGGGUGCCGACGAGUGGCGAACGGGUGAGUAAUGCAUCGGAACGUACCUUUCAGUGGGGGAUAACGUAGCGAAAGUUACGCUAAUACCGCAUAUUCUGUGAGCAGGAAAGCAGGGGAUCGCAAGACCUUGCGCUGAUUGAGCGGCCGAUGUCAGAUUAGCUAGUUGGUGAGGUAAAGGCUCACCAAGGCGACGAUCUGUAGCGGGUCUGAGAGGAUGAUCCGCCACACUGGAACUGAGACACGGUCCAGACUCCUACGGGAGGCAGCAGUGGGGAAUUUUGGACAAUGGGGGGCAACCCUGAUCCAGCCAUGCCGCGUGAGUGAAGAAGGCCUCGGUUGUAAG